UCAGUCCCGUGUGACGGCACAACCAAGCAUACAGUAGGAAGUCAACCCAGUAAAGGUGCAAUCUACUUUCAGUCCCGUGUGACGGCACAACCAAGCAUACAGUAGGAAGUCAACCCAGUAAAGGUGCAAUCUACUUUCAGUCCCGUGUGACGGCACAACCAAGCAUACAGUAGGAAGUCAACCCAGUAAAGGUGCAAUCUACUUUCAGUCCCGUGUGACGGCACAACCAAGCAUACAGUAGGAAGUCAACCCAGUAAAGGUGCAAUCUACUUUCAGUCCCGUGUGA